rnacentral:rRNA from 1 species
GUCUACGGCCAUUCUCCCCUGACCGCGCCUGAUCUUGUCUGAUGUUGGAAGUCAAGCAGCACUGGGCCUGGUUAGUACUUGUUUGGGAGAAAAGAACAUCUGGGGAUGUGGCCC